GUAUUAGACCGGAUCAAAGCUUCCUUCAUCCCUAUUCCGGAAAGGAACUUUGUGAAACAUCACCUGCGCAACAACCCAGACCUAUACGGGCCAUUCUGGAUAUGUGCCACGCUGGUGAUCACGGUCACUGUUGUCGGGAACCUAGCAACAUUUAUUCAGAUGUAUGACCGUCCCGGUUAUAACUACAGCCCUCAAUUCCACAAGGUAACGGUUGCAG